UACGGAGGGUGCGAGCGUUAAUCGGAAUUACUGGGCGUAAAGCGCGCGUAGGCGGUUUUGUAAGUCGAAUGUGAAAGCCCCGGGCUUAACCUGGGAAUUGCAUCCGAUACUGCAAGGCUAGAGUAUGUUAGAGGGAAGUGGAAUUCCGGGUGUAGCGGUGAAAUGCGUAGAUAUCCGGAGGAACACCAAUGGCGAAGGCAACUUCCUGGGACAAUACUGACGCUGAGGUGCGAAAGCGUGGGGAGCAAACAGG
rnacentral:misc_RNA from 1 species